rnacentral:lncRNA from 10 species
GAAGCUUACCAUUUAUUUUAGAAUAAAUUUAACUUUUCUCAGGUGGCACUGUCAUAAUACUCUCUCUGUACUUAGCCUCCCGGGCAUAAAAAGUUAAAAAUUAAAAAAUAGAGAGUGCUUUUUGUGCUUUAAAUUAAUCAGACUUCUGAACAACUAAAUGAUAUUGUUAGUGAUCUAUCAUUUUCAUUCAUUCAACAAAUAUAUAUGGAGCCACUGUGUGCCAGGUAUAUUCUAAAAGCUAUGGAUUUUGUGGGUAUGAAAAUGAAAGGGACAAGAAUCCUUGCCCUUAUGAAACUUAAAUUCCAGUGGAGGGAGCCUGACAGGAAGCCAAAUAGAGAAGUAAAACAUAGAGUGUGUUGGGAGGUCACAAGCAGCAAGAAGAGAAACAGAGCACAGAAGAAGCGGAGUAUGCCACGCGGAGGGCAAGGUACAAUUUUAAAUAGGGUGGGAAUUAUAGGUGACAUGUGCGCCCCCAUUAAGAAAACGUUUAUUGACAUCCUAUUUUCCAGUGCCUCAGAAUGUGAUAUUUGGAAACAGAUUUGUUGAAGAUGUAGCUAGCUAUGAUAAGGCUAUACUGGAGUAGAGUGGGCUCUGAAACCAAAAUGACUGGUGUCCUUCUAAGAAGAUAGGGUGAAGACACACUGGGAGAGCACCACGACCACAGAGGCAGAGACUAGAAGGAUACAGAGACAAGCCAAGGAACACCAAGGAUGUCUGGCUAUCACCAGAAGCUAGGAAGAGGAAAGGAAGGAUUCUACCUAGAGUCUCAGAGGGAGUACAGCCCUGCUGGCACCUGGAUUUUUCUAGCCUUCAGAACUGUGGGAGAAGAAAUAUCUCUUGUUUCCUAAGACCUGUGGUUGGUGGCACUUGUAACAGCAGCCCUAGGAAGCUUAAUACAGUGGGCAAGGAGGCCUCAUCUGUGAGGAUGGCAUCUGAGAAAAGACCUGAAGUUGGUGAGGGUGUCACCAUUGCAGGGCUCUAAAACAGAGGCAGGUGUUUGCAAUUCAUGACUUCAGAACCACUUGGACACCAAAGAUGUGUGUGCCUCAUGCAGAGACUUCACUUCUCUUUCGUGGUAACUAAUGACUCCCGUACCCUCUGCUCUCUCAGCUUCCAAUAAAGGUUUUGAAUACCAAGGUAGAGAGAAUGGAGAAACAAGAAGAGAAUGGAAAAGAAACUGCCGAAAAAUAAUGGCUAAAGUUAUAUAGUGUCACAACAAGCAUUUUUAUUCUAAUUUAUUUAAUUUUGUUUAGGCAGGCUAAGUGGGUAAAUGUUGUGGGUGUGGUAAAAGGAGUCCUGGUAGGUGAAAUUACAUGAAAUCUUCUUAAUGAUGCCAACCAAACUGUUAAAAACUGAUACCUGGCAAUUAAAAUAUUUAUCCACCUAGAUUAUUACUACUUUCUUCUCUGCUCUUGGUAUAUGUCUCCGU